rnacentral:rRNA from 1 species
UACGUAGGGUGCGAGCGUUGUCCGGAAUUACUGGGCGUAAAGAGCUCGUAGGUAGUUUGUCGCGUUGUUCGUGAAAACCGGGGGCUUAACCCUCGGCGUGCGGGCGAUACGGGCAGACUGGAGUACUGCAGGGGAGACUGGAAUUCCUGGUGUAGCGGUGGAAUGCGCAGAUAGUCAAGGAGGAACACCGGUGGCGAAAGGCGGG